ensembl:lncRNA
AUGUCAAAGUUAAGCUUACGUAUUGUUAGGAUCGUAAGAAAACACAUUUGUAAAUUGGUAUGAUUGUCAGUAUUCUGGCAUCUGCAAAGAUAAUACCCGAACGUAGCUCUUUGAAACUGUAAAGCUAGCAACAAUUAGUUGGACCGCUAGCCCAGUGUUCAACCUUAGUGUUGCCAUUCCCAAUAUCAUAUUCAAAAUAAAAGUUUAUAGCUGUUUUUUUCAAAGUUCAAAGCUGCAGCAAACAACAACAUUGUACCAGUAGGCUAUGAAACAUUUAUGAGACAUUUCAGGUCGUUGUCAUGCUAGAAGACCCAGUCACGACCCAUCUUCAACGCUCUUACUGAGGGAAGGAGGUUGUUGGCCAAGAUCUCGCGAUACAUGGCCCCAUCCAUCCUGCCCUCAAUACGGUGCAGUCGUCCUGUCCCCUUUUGCAGAAAAGCAUCCCCAAAGAAUGAUGUUUCCACCUCCAUGCUUCAAGGUUGGGAUGGUGUUCUUAGGGUUGUACUCAUCCUUCUUUAUCCUCCAAACAUGGUGGAGUUUAGACCAAAAAGCUCUAUUUUUGUCUCAUCAGACCACACGAACUUCUCCCAUUCCUCCUCUGGAUCAUCGAGACGGUCAUUGGCAAACUUGAGACGGGCCUGGACAUGCGCUGGCUUGAGCAGGGGGACAUUGCGUGUGCUGCAGGAUUUUAAUCCAUGACGGCGUAGUGUGUUACUAAUGGUUUUCUUUGAGAUUGUGGUCCCAGCUCUCUUGAAGUCAUUGACCAGGUCCUGCCAUGUAGUUCUGGGCUGACCCCUCACCUUCUUCAUGAUCAUUGAUGCCCCACAAGGUGAGAUCUUGCAUGGAGCCCCAGACUGAGGGGGUCUGAUCGUCUUCUUGAACUUCUUCCAUUUUCUAAUAAUUGCACCAACAGUUGUUGCCUUCUCACCAAGCUGCUUGCCUAUUGUCCUGUGGCCCAUCCCAGCCUUGUGCAGGUCUACAAUUUUAGACAAUUUUAGACAAUUUUUUCCCUGAUGUCCUUGGAGUCUGUUUGAUUGAGUGUGUGGACAGGUGUCUUUUAUACAGGUAAGAAUUCAAACAGGUGCAGUUAAUACAGGUAAUGAGUGGAGAACAGGAGGGCUUCUUUAAGAAAAGAAGCCCUCUGAAUUCUUCCUGGUUGGUAGGUGAUCAAAUACUUAUGUCAUGCAAUAAAAUGCAAAUGAAUUAUUUAAAAAUCAUACAAUGUGAUUUUCUGGAUUGUUUGUUUUAGAUUCCGUCUCUCACAGUUGAAGUGUACCUAUGAUAAAAAUUACAGGACCUCUACAUGCUUUGUAAAUGUGCUUUUUUGAAGCCCAUGUGCAAGGCUUUCGGUCAUUAAAUGACAUGGGCCUGAAACUCAUACAUCAAUUUGAACAACGCACAUCUUUUUUCCCUGCAUGCGCUAAUAUUUCAGGCACUUUUUAAUUAUUCUUUGAUAUAACUAUGAAUGUGUAUACAUUUUUAAUUGAUUGGUUAAUUAAAUCACUCAAAUUGUAAUGACAUUUUCUGAAAAAAAUGUUAUGUUAGUUCUACUAAUUGCAUCCACUCCUGACAGAAUUGUUUCAGUUAAGGUGCUUUAUGUAUGGACAUAAGACAUUCUUGUGAAUGCUUGCAGUCAUUAUAAAUGCAGAUCAUUGAGGCAGAGAAGCACCCCUAUAGUAUGAUACUGCCACCACCAUGCUUCAAGGUAGGGAUGGCGUUCUCAGGAUUAUGAAAUGUUAGGCUUGCACCUAACCUGGUGCUUAGCUAUGGGCGGUGACUAUUUUUAAGAGCCACUGAUCAACUAUUGAAAUUGAAGCCUUUUUGCUUUUCUAAAGCUUGCAUUAUAACAAAAAUAUGGAAAUAUGUAUUUAGUACAAUCAUUUUGUGUUUCCUUUCUCAGAGGACUCACCUGGGAUUCAUGUUUGUCAGCAAAGUGAUGUGCAAUUCCUUUUGGAAAAUAAGCCCAGUUGGUAGAUCAACUUUUUGAAGAUGUUAAUAUCACCUGCAACCUGAAUUGACAGUGAUUGCCCAGGCUGGAAAAAGAAACUGUCAAAACAACUGAAAGCACCUUUGUCACUUUUAAAAAGCAUAUGAUUAAUUAAUAAAUACAUUUACUCACAAAUAAAAAGAAAAAUAGUAGUUUUAAAGUAAACCUGCAAUUGAUAGUGCUGGCAAAUACACUGAGUGCACAAUAAUUAGUAGGGGUGUAACGAUUCAUUUUAACCUCGAUUCGUAUCACGAUUCGUGGUUGUCGAUAUGAUUCAAGGCCGAUAAUGGUUCAUUUAGAACGAUACGAUCCGAAACGAUUCAGUGACUUGAAAUCGAUUCAGUAUCUUUUCAGCCAAAAAUUCAACCCGUUUGACUGAAAUAAAUACAUGGAUACUGGACAGUGCAGGUGAAGUUUCCUAGAUUCCUGUUGUUUCUUGUAAGGGAAUCAGGUAUCAAUUAAUUAUGGAUAUAAACAAACAAGUAAACAACAAUUAAUGGCAAAUGCAUUCACAAUUUAUUUGAAUAAAGUGCAACCAACACUUUAGGUUGAAUUAACAGGAAGUUAAAAUGUUCUGCUCUCAUUUUAAAUAUUCAAUACAUUUUCAAUAAAAGUACAGAAAGUGCAACCAACAUUUCAACAGUAGGUUUACCUGCUACUUGUGCUUUUGUUUUUCAACAUAAAAAUACUACUAUAUCACUAUCAAAAAUAAAGUGCAACCAACAUCUCUUCAGGUUGAAUUAACAGUAGGUUAACCUGCUACUUUUGCUGUUGUUUUUCAACAUAAAAAUACUACUAUAUUAAUAUCAAAAAUAAAGCGCAACCAACAUCUCUUCAGGUUGAAUUAACAGUAGGUUUACCUGCUACUUUUGCUGUUGUUUUUCAACAUAGAAAUAAUACAAAUACAGUAUUAAUAUCAAAAAUGAAGUGCAACCAACACUUUCCACACACUGGACCGCAAUGGUGGCUUGAUAAUUUCUCGCUCGUCGGCUUCUUCUCUGCCAUCUGCCAUGCUAUGUUUUGUUGUCUUUACCAUAGACAUCAUAUAUAAAGGCUAGACGUCUCAUGGCGCAGUCACUUCCGGCAUCACCGGUGGCCAUCUUGUCACAGGCAGGCUUCCUGGUGGGCUCUGUGGUACCUGAUGUAAGGUGAGUGAUCAGCACUAACACAAAUACUCUUAUUUCGCUGAAACCUUGACGGAGUUACAAACAGUUUGGUUUCUUACAAACGUUAUUAACGUGGCUAUAAUUCUGAAUGGUUGAAAAUGUUGAAAUUGCAGCUUUUCUUUUCUAAAAACGUCUAAAUCGUGCAGCAUAGUUGGAUCACGGCUACUUGCGCAAGUUUUCAAGGCAGAUAUCACAAACGAGCUUUUCGAUUAUAGAGGUUUUACUUACACCAAUAACGAUUUUAUGACAACUAAUCUUUUGUCUAAAUUACAAUAUUUGUGGAUGUGGUUGUAGUUAUUUGCUGGCUAAUAACAAAAAGCUUCGAGUAAGACCUAUGGGAGCUAAAGUUACAGUUUAGCUGCUAACCAGCAGAGUUGCACAUGCUUUUCAAUCCGGUUGGUUCCUGUGUUGCUUGAAGGACAGCAAUAUGUCCUGACCUACAGGUUCAGCCAGGACCACUUGGAGCUUCUGUUCAACUCCAUCAGAGUAUCUGGUAGGGUUCAUAAUUUAUAUUUACCAGCCGCAACACUAAGUGACUUGUAUGUUUUUCAGUUUGUCGGUCCAUAUGUUUUUUGACUUUUGGUAACAUGUGUUUUCUGCAGACACACCUUAACCCUAAGACACACACAAUACCUGGAAGUGUCACAAACCAUUUUGAGUAUUUAGAAAAAUGCCUGUGUUUGACUAUUUGUUUGCAGAACUUAUCAUCACUGAUACAGUCUGAAUUGUAUGAUAAUGUCAUUCAACCUAUUUUAUGUGGAAAGAUCAUUCAGGGGUGGCUAGUUCUAAUUAGUCUUUUUUUGUAACAAUGUUUUAAGCAUAAAACAUUUUAAAGCAUGUAUUGAAUAUCUGUGUACUAUUCUUGUAUAUCUUUUUUUUUUUCCUUAAAUGAAUAACAACCCUAAUGCCAGCCAGUUCAAGUACAUCUUUAGGAUGUAAAAUCUGAUGGGCCCGUGUGGGGUUGUUAAACCAUGCAGAGGCAAUGUGACAGCACAGGAUGACAAAGAGUCCCUACCAGCUGUCAUCGACACCUCUACAAGCCUGUCAGCUGUAGAUGUGUCCUCUGCACCAGGAGGAGAAGAUCUUCCAUCCCCGUUUCCUGACAUUCCUGCCCUAGUACAUGAUCACAGCUACCUUCCCGUCCACUUCGAUGGUCUUGUGGACAACGCUCUCAUGUACAUUUCAGGAUUUGUUGUGCGACAGGCUCUGAAGAAUCUUUCGUGUGAUGUCUGCCGUGCCAGCCUGGUGACAUGCUGCAUCUGCCAUCAAGGAUACAAUCGAUUGAUUACAUUUUAAAACGAUGUUGGAUCGAUAUAUGUCGUCCGGAAGGCCAACUUGCUGAGCACAGAUCGAUGUAGUUGGAUCAUAGGAAUAUAUAUCGAUACAUAGAUGUAAUAGAUGGAUCGUUACACCCAUAGUAUGCAAACUUUUGAGCAGAACUGUAUAAAAAAACUUUGUUUGGGAUCAGUUCGAAAUGUCCUUGAAAAAUGCAAACAUUUUAAUUAUACAUAUUAAAAAAACUGUGUUCCAAAGUUAACACAAAUUACAGUCAGACUGGAUGAGUCAUUUAUGGUCAAUGCAAACCAAGGCUGCAAAGAAGUUCUUUUAUCACCAUGACAGUCAGCAAUGAUUUGAUUUAUUGGUACAGUGGAAUAUAAUACUGUAUCAUUAUUAGCUGUAGUGGGAUAUUAGACUGUAUCACUAUUAGGUGCAGUGGAAUAUAUAAUACUGUAUCAUUAUUAGGUGCAAUGGGAUAUAAGACUGUAUCACUAUUAGGUGCAAUGGAAUAAAAUACUGUAUCAUUAUUAGGUGCAGUGGAAUAUAAUACUGUAUCAUUAUUAGGUGCAGUGGAAUAUAAUACUGUAUCAUUAUUAGGUGCAGUGGAAUAUAAUACUGUAUCAUUAUUAGGUGCAGUGGAAUAUAAUACUGUAUCAUUAUUAGGUGCAUAAUUUGUCACAGUUCCUCCAAUUACAUUUACACUACACUUUAGGGCCACUUAGACAUGUCCUUGUUUUUGAAAGAAAAGCAUGUUUUUGUCCACAAAUCCUCCUGUUUUGUUCUGGUCGCAUUGGACUGAUUUACAGGUUUUCUCUCUGAAAAAUAUAGUUCAUUUAAUCUUAUUGUCAUACGGUUCCAUGUCUUUGUCCACACAGGGCAUCUAAACACGCAUAAUACAUCUUGAUGAUUUUAUAAAAUUUUGAGUAUUUGAUAAAAAAAUAAAUGUUGGGUUCAAUGACUGGUCAUUAAAAAUGUAUGGGUUAGACAAAAAUUAGUGUAUGAAAUUGAAUUCAGGCACAUACUCAUUAAUCAGAUGGACACUUCCUCUCCCAGACCCCCUCAUGCAUGGGUGUUUGAGGACACACACACACACACAGGAGAUGACUGCAGGCCUCCAGGGGCACAACAUAACAUGUUUCUUCGCCUCACUUGCUUUUGGUCAGGAGCUGCUCCAAAAGAAAUGACCGUGGUGGGGACGGUCAGAAGGAACAAGCCGAGGCCAAUUACUGACCGUUGCACUUUUGCAGGUUACUGGCACAUACUGUUGCAAGUUGGCCCAUGGUGGUGUUCUUCAACAUCCUAGAUGUGUCACCCUACAAAACGAUUGUGGUGUGGAUGGAGGUGAAUCCAGGCUGAAGCAGGGGAAUAUUCCUAGAAAAGACAUGAUGGCACCCCUCAUUCAAAGGCUCCAACACCUUCCUCAAACACCAUGCUCUGCUGGAUUGGUGCCAGAAGCAAGAUCUACGCCAGACAGAAGGAAAAAAAGAUACAAUCUGUGGGCACCAAGAGUUGUCAAAACAAGCAUUAUGUGCCAUAAAUACAGUGUAUAUAUAUGCAAGGCACUUGCAACAACCACCACAUAUCAAUCAAUCAAUACAAUUUAUUUAUAAAGCCCUUUUUACAUCAGCAGUUGUCACAAAGUGCUUUUACAAAAUAUACAUACUGUCUAACAUGGGCAUGAGAAUGCAAAAUGUAACCACCAUUGAUUAACAGAUUAUGAAUAUUUUAAUGUUUUUGAUAUUGUUAGUAAU